AAGCCAGACUCCUACGGGAGGCAGCAGUGGGGAAUAUUGCGCAAUGGGGGGAACCCUGAUGCAGCGACGCCGCGUGGGUGAAGAAGCGCCUCGGCGCGUAAAGCCCUGUCAGCAGGGAAGAAAAUGACGGUACCUGAAGAAGAAGCCCCGGCUAACUACGUGCCAGCAGCCGCGGUAAUACGUAGGGGGCAAGCGUUAUCCGGAUUUACUGGGUGUAAAGGGGGCGCAGACGGCGAUGCAAGCCAGGAGUGAAAGCCCGGGGCCCAACCCCGGGACUGCUCUUGGAACUGCGUGGCUGGAGUGCAGGAGGGGCAGGCGGAAUUCCUGGUGUAGCGGUGAAAUGCGUAGAUAUCAGGAGGAACACCGGUGGCGAAGGCGGCCUGCUGGACUGCAACUGACGUUGAGGCCCGAAAGCGUGGGGAGCAAACAGGAUUAGAUACCCUGGUAC
rnacentral:rRNA from 1 species